AACGAACGCUGGCGGCAUGUCUAACACAUGCAAGUCGAACGAAACCUUCGGGUCUAGUGCCGCACGCGUGCGUAACGCGUGGGAUCCUGCCCUUAGGUUCGGCAUAACUCCCCGAAAGGGGUGCUAAUACCGGAUCAUAUCUUCGAACCAAAGAUUUAUCGCGUUUGGAUGGGCCCGCGUUGGAUUAGCUAGUUGGUAGGGUAAAAGGCUACCACGGCUAGGAUAGAUAGCUGGGCUGAGAGGAAGAGCAGCGACACUGGGACGGGGACACGGUCCAGACUACUGCAGGAGGCAGGAGUGGCGGAUAUUGGACAACGGGCGAAAGGCUGAUCGAGUAAUGACGGGUGAGUGAUGAAGGCUGUAGGGAUGGAAAGUUCUUUUACCCGGGAUGAUAAUGACAGUACCGGGAGAAUAAGCUCCGGCUAACUCCGUG
rnacentral:rRNA from 1 species